GAAGCAACUGUUGCUAGGCAAAUUCAAGCACAAUUCCAAAUUUCUGGAAAACAAGCUCUCCAGGAUGCCUUGAAGGCUGGUUUGGAAGCUUCUGUGGUCCCUGCCUUUGAGAUGUCGUGCAAAGCUAUGUUUGAGCAAGUAGACUCAACCUUCCGUAAAGGGUUGGUUGAACAUACGACUACAGCUCAACAGCAUUUUGAAUCUGCACAUUCUUCAUUGGCCCUGGCUUUAAGAGAAGCCAUCAACUCUGCUUCAUCAUUGACUCAAACAUUAAGCGGGGAAUUGGCUGAAAGUCAAAGGAAGCUGGUAGCUCUUGUUGCUGCUGGUGCAAACUCGAAUGCAGCAAAUCCCUUGGUUACACAACUGAGCAAUGGACCUUUGGCUGGCCUCCGUGAAAAGGUUGAGACGCAUUUGGAUCCAACAAAAGACCUAUCAAGAUUGAUAUCCGAACACAAAUACGAUGAGGCCUUCACCAUUGCCCUGCAAAGAAGUGAUGUUUCGAUUGUUUCUUGGUUAUGUUCUCAGGUUGAUUUGCGUGGGAUCUUAGCAAUGGUUCCUCUCCCCUUAAGCCAAGGAGUAUUGCUCUCUCUUCUACAGCAGUUGGCCUGUGAUGUUAGCAA
rnacentral:misc_RNA from 1 species